rnacentral:rRNA from 1 species
CGCGGCCUAUCAGCUUGUUGGUGAGGUAACGGCCCACCAAGGCGACGACGGGUAGCCGGCCUGAGAGGGUGACCGGCCACACUGGGACUGAGACACGGCCCAGACUCCUACGGGAGGCAGCAGUGGGGAAUAUUGCACAAUGGGCGCAAGCCUGAUGCAGCAACGCCGCGUGAGGGACGACGGCCUUCGGGUUGUAAACCCCUUUCAGCAGGGACGAAAAUGACGGUACCUGCAGAAGAAGCUCCGGCCAACUACGUGCCAGCAGCCGCGGUAAUACGUAGGGAGCGAGCGUUGUCCGGAAUUAUUGGGCGUAAAGAGCUCGUAGGCGGUUCAGUAAGUCGGGUGUGAAAACUCAAGGCUCAACCUUGAGACGCCACUCGAUACUGCUGUGACUUGAGUCCGGUAGAGGAGUGUGGAAUUCCUGGUGUAGCGGUGAAAUGCGCAGAUAUCAGGAGGAACACCAGCGGCGAAGGCGGCACUCUGGGCCGGUACUGACGCUGAGGAGCGAAAGCAUGGGGAGCAAACAGGAUUAGAUACCCUGGUAGUCCAUGCCGUAAACGUUGGGCACUAGGUAUGGGAUCAUAUCAACGGAUUCCGUGCCGUAGCUAACGCAUUAAGUGCCCCGCCUGGGGAGUACGG